GGAUCAGGUAGGGAUACCCGCUGAACUUAAGCAUAUCAUAA
rnacentral:rRNA from 1 species